AUGGGCACCAGCCUCCUAUGCUGUGUGGCCUUCUGUCUUCUGCAGGCAGGUCCAGGGAAUGCUGGUGUCACUCAGGACCCCAAAUUCCAGGUCCUGAGGACAGGACAGAGCACGACCCUGAAAUGUGCCCAGGAUCUUAACCAUGACUAUAUGUACUGGUACCGACAAGACCUGGGACAUGGGCUGAGGCUGAUCCAUUACUCCUAUGGUGUUGGCAACACUGAGAAAGGAGAAAUCCCUGAUGGGUACAACGUCUCGAGAUCAAAUAGAGAGGAUUUCCCCCUGACCCUGGAGUCUGUUAUCCCCUCCCGGACAUCUGUGUACUUCUGUGCCAGCACCCCCAGGUAUGCGGGGGACAGUGAGUAUUUCGGCCCAGGCACCAGGCUCACGGUCAUAGACGACCUGAGCAAGGUGACCCCACCCAAGGUGGCUGUGUUCGAGCCGUCAGCAGCAGAGAUCUCCCGGACCCAGAAGGCCACGCUCGUGUGCCUGGCCACGGGCUUCUACCCCGACCACGUGGAGCUGAGCUGGUGGGUGAACGGGAAGCAGGUCGAGACAGGGGUCAGCACGGACCCUCAGCCCUACAAGGAGGACCCCAGCCGCAAUGACUCCAGCUACUGUCUGAGCAGCCGGCUGAGGGUCUCCGCCACCUUCUGGUACAACCCUCGCAACCUCUUCCGCUGCCAAGCCUGGUUCCACGGGGUCUCGGACGAGGACGAGUGGAAGCAGGACAGGCCCAAACCCGUCACCCAGAACAUCAGCGCCGAGGUCCGGGGCCGAGCAGACUGCGGCCUCACCUCGGUGUCCUAUCAGCAAGGGAUCCUGUCUGCCACCAUCCUCUAUGAGAUCCUGUUGGGCAAGGCCACCCUCUAUGCUGUGCUGGUCAGCGCCCUGGUGCUGAUGGCCAUGGUUAAGAAAAAGGAUUCCUGAGACCAGCUCCAAAAGUGCAUCCUGAGUCAUUCUUCCUCCUCUCCGUGGAUGUUCCUUAACAUGUUUCCAAUCUGUGUUCCUCAAGAGUUUCUCUCUCUCCACCUGUUAUCUCCUUCCUACAUGGAUAUCUGUCUCUUCUCUCAGCUUCCCUGCAGACUGAGCUCCUCCCAAUUGAAUCUGAAAUUGACUAAAGCAAUAAAAGUGUCAUGGUGGG